rnacentral:sRNA from 1 species
UAUGAGUAAUCUCCUACUACCACUUGGUU